UGCCGGCGACCGGCGGACGGGUGCGUAACGCGUAUGUAACCUACCUUUGACAGGGGGAUAACAUCGAGAAAUUGGUACUAAUACCCCAUAACAUCACCGGAGGCAUCUUCGGUGGUUGAAAACUCAGGUGGUCAGAGAUGGACAUGCGUUGUAUUAGCUAGUUGGUGAGGUAACGGCUCACCAAGGCGACGAUACAUAGGGGGACUGAGAGGUCCAACCCCCCACAUUGGUACUGAGACACGGACCAAACUCCUACGGAAGGCAGCAG
rnacentral:rRNA from 1 species